rnacentral:misc_RNA from 1 species
UACGGAGUAUCCAAGCGUUAUCCGGAUUCAUUGGUUUCAAAGGGUGCGUAGGCGGACUGGUAAGUCAGCUGUGAAAGUUUACGGCUUAACCGUGAAAUUGCAGUUGAUACUGUCAGUCUUGAGUCCACAAGAGGAUAGCGGAAUUCGUGGUGUAGCGGUGAAAUGCUUAGAUAUCACGAAGAACUCCAAUUGCGAAGGCAGCUAUCUGGGGUGGUACUGACGCUGAGGCACGAAGGUGUGGGUAUCAAACAGG